UACGUAGGGGGCUAGCGUUGUCCGGAAUUAUUGGGCGUAAAGAGCUCGUAGGCGGUUUGUCGCGUCUGCUGUGAAAACCCGAGGCUCAACCUCGGGCCUGCAGUGGGUACGGGCAGACUAGAGUGCGGUAGGGGAGAUUGGAAUUCCUGGUGUAGCGGUGGAAUGCGCAGAUAUCAGGAGGAACACCGAUGGCGAAGGCAGAUCUCUGGGCCGUAACUGACGCUGAGGAGCGAAAGCGUGGGGAGCGAACAGG
rnacentral:rRNA from 1 species